CCUUAGAGUUUGAUCCUGGCUCAGGAUGAACGCUAGCUACAGGCUUAACACAUGCAAGUCGAGGGGAAACGAUAUUGGAAGCUUGCUUCCGAUAGGCGUCGACCGGCGCACGGGUGAGUAACGCAUAUCCAACCUGCCCAUCACUUGGGGAUAACCUUGCGAAAGUAAGACUAAUGCCCAAUGACAUUGAGUGCGGACAUCUAAUCUCAAUUAAAGAUUUAUCGGUGAUGGAUGGGGAUGCGUCCGAUUAGCUUGUUGGCGGGGUAACGGCCCACCAAGGCAACGAUCGGUAGGGGUUCUGAGAGGAAGGUCCCCCACAUUGGAACUGAGACACGGUCCAAACUCCUACGGGAGGCAGCAGUGAGGAAUAUUGGUCAAUGGGCGAGAGCCUGAACCAGCCAAGUAGCGUGCAGGAUGACGGCCCUAUGGGUUGUAAACUGCUUUUAUAAGGGAAUAAAGUGAGUCUCGUGAGACUUUUUGCAUGUACCUUAUGAAUAAGGACCGGCUAAUUCCGUGCCAGCAGCCGCGGUAAUACGGAAGGUCCGGGCGUUAUCCGGAUUUAUUGGGUUUAAAGGGAGCGUAGGCCGGAGAUUAAGCGUGUUGUGAAAUGUAGACGCUCAACGUCUGCACUGCAGCGCGAACUGGUUUCCUUGAGUACGCACAAAGUGGGCGGAAUUCGUGGUGUAGCGGUGAAAUGCUUAGAUAUCACGAAGAACUCCGAUUGCGAAGGCAGCUCACUGGAGCGCAACUGACGCUGAAGCUCGAAAGUGCGGGUAUCGAACAGGAUUAGAUACCCUGGUAGUCCGCACGGUAAACGAUGGAUGCCCGCUGUUGGUCUGAAUAGGUCAGCGGCCAAGCGAAAGCAUUAAGCAUCCCACCUGGGGAGUACGCCGGCAACGGUGAAA
rnacentral:rRNA from 1 species